UCUCGGUGCUUAAAUAACUAUUGUUACCGUAUAGAGCCGAUUCUCUGCUUCACAUUAUAUGAGUAUGUUAUAUGUGUUACACUCUAUUGGUAAAAGUUUUUCACUCGGUAAAUGUAAACGGAACGAUUAAUUAAGUUGAUUAAAGUCCGGCAACAAUAACAAAACAAUGUUUUGAUGCGCUUCAGGAUAUUCUAUAAUUCUAUAUUCAUACAAUAUACUCGUUACGUAAUUAUAAGCUUUGAUGUGUGCUUUGAAGCUGUUUCACCUGUUGAAUGGAAUAAUAUCGGUACAAUCUCAUUGAUAGAUAAUUUUCCGAUUUUCAAGUUCAAGUUCGAAAUGUAAUGGUGGUGUACUAUAGUUUGGUGAUUUAAACACUCAUUGGAACGCAAAUGGUUGACCAAUGAUCACGUAUUACGAAAUUUUCUCUAAGCUUGUGCAUAGAUAAACUGAAAAAUUGUGUUCAGUUGUUUCUGAGACGGUUUUGUAUCUGUUGUUUAAAUAGCUGUGCGAUAAUUAAAAAAAAAAAUUAAAGUGGUGUAACGUGUUGUGGACUGAGCUGAUACAAAAUAUUUGCCAAGGAAUCGUGCAGUUGUUAACUUUCGUAUGACUAACAAGCAAAAAAGUAAUAUGCAACAGUUUUUAAGUUAUCAAACAGCAAGGCGUAUAUACGGAGAAAGAAGCUACAAGAAAUAUGUGACUAAGCGGACGUUAAUUUCGCUUACAUUCAGUAUCGGAUUUUUUACGUUAAUUGUGGGUUUCCUUCUUGGUAAAUUUGUAUCACAGCGUCAGUUUAAACUGAGGCAAUUAUACGAGCCCGAAGUGAUACAACUGGUACGAUCGAUUCUGCAUGCAAAACAAAUUGCCGAAAAUAUGUGGGAAUCAUCAAUUACACGUUUCAACAAUGAUUCAUUACCCACUACAUUCAACGACUCUAUGCCAACGUUUAAUCAAAUAAAUUCAAAUUUACUUGCAAAAAUGAAAUAUUGUGGUCAUCCGAUACAUCCGAUAUUGAUUGAUUCUGGUAAUUUUGUCGGUCAACUGUUGGACGACGAAAUGGUUCGAUUGUUGAAUUGUUUGACAGAAUUGAAUCGUCUGCUGAACGAUUUAGGGAAUGAAAUGGUUUAAAAUAUUUAAAAAAGAAAUCGAGACAAGGAUACAUAUACGUGUAUGUAUAUUAUGGAGAGGUAUACACAGUUUAACCAAAAUUCAUAAAUUAUGAACGAUGUGAAGCAAUGCAGUCCGGUUCUAAUUUAAUAUGUAAAUUAUUAUGUCUAGCUUAUAACAUGUUAUGUUGUAUAAUGUGGGCAAUGCUUGCGGUUGUAGUAUUAAGCGUUUAUAACUUGCAAUUGUUUCAUUGUUCCGGGUGUCGUGAGAACGUUUCAGGCCGGCGCUGCUUAGCCGACGCUACAAGGUUGAGCAUUUUGUUAUCGCAAGCAUAAAUACUAACAUUUCGCAACUCAGUGACGAAACUCCUGUUGCUUUCAUUGUUGUAUGCAGCUCACUUUAGCAAUUAUCAGUCGGUGGCACAAAUAGUUAUUGCAAAUGCGAAACUAAAACCAUUUAAAUCCGGAGUAGAUAUGUUCGCCGGUCAAUUUUUGUUAAUACGAUCGGCGGUGAGUAGGGUGGCUUGAUUUUUAAAGUUCGAUUAUUUUCCAAUAUUUGAUGAGUUGAGACACAUUGUGGAAAAUUAACUUCAUUUCUAUCUGGGAAGGUGGGUAUGGUCGAGUGGGGUGUCAAUGGAUAGAGCUUGAAGUAAGCUACAAAACUCCUGGUUAGAGCUUCCUGCUACUAACUUUCCCAGCCGCCCAGAGCCAUUCAAAAAUUUCUGUUUUCUCGAGGUUUUUCACUUGUUGCGGCGGCUGGGUGGGCAGAACAUCGGUGUUUGUUGGUCAACAAUAUUCAGCUCAUUGACCUUUAUAAACGUGCACAAUUUGACAUUAUUCACAUCUCGCAUGUUGAAGUAAUUGAUAAAAAAACGAUUUUCGCGACCACUUCGGAGAAAAAUUUUCUAAGGGCCAUGACAGCCCAACAAAAAAU